rnacentral:rRNA from 1 species
GAUGAACGCUGGCGGCGUGCCUAAUACAUGCAAGUCGAGCGAACAGACGAGGAGCUUGCUCCUCCGACGUUAGCGGCGGACGGGUGAGUAACACGUGGAUACCUACCUAUAAGACUGGGAUAACUUCGGGAAACCGGAGCUAAUACCGGAUAAUAUAUUGAACCGCAUGGUUCAAUAGUGAAAGACGGUUUUGCUGUCACUUAUAGAUGGAUCCGCGCCGCAUUAGCUAGUUGGUAAGGUAACGGCUUACCAAGGCAACGAUGCGUAGCCGACCUGAGAGGGUGAUCGGCCACACUGGAACUGAGACACGGUCCAGACUCCUACGGGAGGCAGCAGUAGGGAAUCUUCCGCAAUGGGCGAAAGCCUGACGGAGCAACGCCGCGUGAGUGAUGAAGGUCUUCGGAUCGUAAAACUCUGUUAUUAGGGAAGAACAAAUGUGUAAGUAACUAUGCACGUCUUGACGGUACCUAAUCAGAAAGCCACGGCUAACUACGUG